rnacentral:rRNA from 1 species
AUGAACGCUAGCUACAGGCUUAACACAUGCAAGUCGAGGGGCAGCGGGAUUGAAGCUUGCUUCAAUUGCCGGCGACCGGCGCACGGGUGAGUAACGCGUAUCCAACCUUCCGUACACUCAGGGAUAGCCUUUCGAAAGAAAGAUUAAUACCUGAUGGUAUGAUGAGAUCGCAUGGUAUCAUCAUUAAAGAUUUAUCGGUGAUGGAUGGGGAUGCGUCUGAUUAGCCUGUUGGCGGGGUAACGGCCCACCAAGGCGACGAUCAGUAGGGGUUCUGAGAGGAAGGUCCCCCACAUUGGAACUGAGACACGGUCCAAACUCCUACGGGAGGCAGCAGUGAGGAAUAUUGGUCAAUGGACGAGAGUCUGAACCAGCCAAGUAGCGUGCAGGAUGACGGCCCUAUGGGUUGUAAACUGCUUUUAUAAGGGAAUAAAGUGAGUCUCGUGAGGCUUUUUGCAUGUACCUUAUGAAUAAGGACCGGCUAAUUCCGUG